rnacentral:rRNA from 1 species
ACUGUCGCGCCGACGCGCCCCCUCCCCUUCGUCGUCGCCGACGCCAUCGUCUCCCCGCAGGCGGCGCACCAGUUGUAUGAAUCCGACGACGUUGUAUGCGGAUCCCAAGGAGGAAGGGUUUGGGGUUGGUCGAUACUUCGUUGGCUGCGAGGUUCGAGCGGUCUAGAGCGAGAGCGGCAGAUUGUGGUCGUUUCCGACGUUGGGUACCCUGGACCUACUUGUCAAGCCGGUGGUGCUUUACGGGGUGUUAGAGUUCCUGUUGUAAGACCCUCAUUGAGUCGUAGUUUUAGAUCCUUCCACGCACCCUAUUUAUUCCCUUUCCCGAACCUCGCAAACUAGUUUUCCCGUCCAGUAGGUGAUUUGAACUGGUAAAGACUUCUCUCUUCUGGAUAACCUCUUUUGUUACUUGAUGAAAGAUCUCUCUAACCUGAAGAAUGUGCCGUGGUACGAGGAUAGGUUGCACAGCCCACCGUAUCGGAAUGACUCCUACUAUUCCUGGGUAACAUACUUGAAGAUUUCGAAUUCAAGUUAGAACUAAAGUGGGUUCUAGUAUAGUUUCCGACACACCUAGACGAUAAGAGAAGUUCGAUUUUUUCAAAGGCAGUGUUCACAAUACUCGUAAUACAUUUUAUACCACUACUACGAUCUUCGUUAGGUAUAGGAGGGGAAUAACUAUUAUAUCAACCUCUGACCUAAAGCAAGACACUAGUAAAACUUUGUCUUCUUAAAUUCUUUGCCAGGUGUUAACCCUUCCGAUUGGCGAGUUUGGAUGGAAUACAAGUGUUCUUCCCUUGUUUCAGUAAACAUCGCCAAGUUGUACUUAAUCUUCUUUACAACGUCUUCGUUUUUCUUGGAUAUCUCCUCCCGCUUCAUGGAAAUUGUCUCGUUGUCUAAACGCUCGUCCACGAACCAUUCCUUAUACCAAUGUAAUCUCCAGCCCCAGUACCUGGUUUUGGUUUAUCUUCCCGGAUGAGUUCGCGUAGUUCGAGUUGAGCCGUACAUCACCUUCUUAACCGUAGAUGUUUCCUCUAACAACGAUGUGUUGUUUGAGUUUAACUCCGAGUUGUUAGAGUCGAACUUCGAGUUGUCUUCUUCUAGCUAACCGAUGUCUCACAGCACAGAUUGAACCAACCGUAAAGUGGAGGAUACCUGCCGUGAUCACGCUGUCCCGAACCAAAGAAUUGACUAUCUAGACAAAACGCAGUCCGAUGUAUAGACAAAGAAGACUACCAAGAGACCAGAGUCUACCUCCCAGUUCCUCCACUUCGUUGAAACCUCUCCACAUCUCCUGUGCACCCCUCACUAGCCUCGUCACGAUUUGAUCUACGGUUUUCUCAUCAAGGACUAAACGUUUAAGCCGAAUGUUUAUGAUCUACAGUUUAUGAUCUUAUCAAGGAAGAACCACUGGCCUAGUAUACAAACCUCGUCAUGAUUUCAACCAUGAAACGUUUAUGAUCUUAUAAUAAAGGACUACCAUGAAUUCAACACUUUGUUUUAAGCCGUAUGUUUACAAUCGUAGAUUACUAACCUAGUAUUCAAAUGUUUACGACUAAGACUUGAAAAAGGGCAACAUACAGAUUUUAAGAUUCCAAAGAACGUAUGAUGAUUACAGUCGUACACCGUUAUAUAACAUCGAUA